UCUAAAUCCCGUGUUAGGCGGCGUUAUUGUUAAAAACUCGCGGGAAGGGAGGAAGAGUGAUGCUUCAGCGAAUCCAUGGGAAACCCAAGCAGGAAAUUGAAGGUGUAAAUUAAGAUCAAUUCUUUGAAACCGUUCCACUUGGUGUUGAAACUGUUCGUUGAUGUUCCAGUGAAGCCUCUGUUACAAUAAUCAUAGCCGAGGAAAAUGAGCUUGCAACCCUAGAGCAGAGAUGGAAGUCCAAACUUCAAAGGUUCUAUGUGCAGAUGCGGAUUUGAUAUUCCUUGUAGGCUGCGGACCAUGUCUGGUGGGAAGUCGGAGCCCCAGUCUCCCACUAAACCCCAUUCAUCUCUACCGGUGCCACUUCCAUCGAGCACUGAUACAUAUCUGUUAAUGGCGACUUGAGAGGGUUUUGAAAAGCUUGAACUGGAGACUGUAGGAACCUCUAACUGAUCAGUCGAUUCAAAAUCAGCAAAUUCUGGGAUUGGUAUAUGAUUAAUGAUUUCAGUGAACUCUGUUAAAGUACUAAGAGAUAGGGAAGGCAAUGUGAAGCCAGUGACAUGGUUUUCAGUUUCUGGGGCAUGUGGCAGUGAGGAUUUUGUGUCAAGGUGGCUCACAGUACUCUCUGUUUGGAGCUUGGUUUUGCCCGCAAGGAACAGCUUCUUUUUCAAUCUAGUAUUCCAAUGGUUCUUCACAUCAUUGUCCGUUCUACCAGGGAGUUGAGAGGCUAUGGCAGACCAUCUGACCAAAACACAGCAAUUAACAAAUUAUUUUCUGAAAACUUAAGCUAAAUAAUAAUAUUGUCACUCAAUUAAAUCUUAUAGAAACUAAGAAAUCUAGGUCGAAAUUUCUAUAUUAUAAGCUCUGUAAAGUUCAAAUCUUUAAUCUUUGUUUCAGAAGAACAUCAAGAAUUUCAGUCUUUAAAAAGCAAAGUAUACAUUAUAAGAUUAAUCCUGGAUUGAAAAAUUAUCAGACUUGCCUGCUUCCAUAUUGAUUAUAGAGGUUGAAGAUGACAUUGUCUUCCUCUUCGGUAAAGUCUCCAUGUUUGAUGUUGGGUCUGAGAUAGUUUAGCCACCGUAACCUGCAACUCUUGCCGCAUCUCUUUAGCCCUGCAAUUUGUUUUAUACAUUACACUGGGAGAGAUAUGAUCAAACAAAAUUGGUUGUAGUUCUUCUGGGAAAAUGGGAAUGCAAGUUGAAAAACAAGAAGACUGGAAGUGGAAAGAGAGAAACCAGCUUUUCUGGGCAGAGCAAUCCAGCUACCAGCAGUGCCAUGAGUUUCCACAUAGCUUCUGAGAGUGGCAUCCUCAUCAGGAGACCAAGGCCCCUUCUUGACAUUGGCUUUGUCACAGCAUGGAGCUCUUCCCAUGGCCGCUUAAUUCUGCACUCUAACUCUCCCUCUAGGAAUAAGUGGGAGAGAGGGUCGUUGUAAAUGCUUCUAGUACUAGCUCAAUUGCAAAUCCUUCUAGUUUUUGUUUAUGAUUUUUCAGUGAGAGCCAUAUAGAAUCUAGCUUGACUUUGUACCAUCUCUCCACAUCGGUUCCCCUUUCUUCCAAGCUUAUUUCCUUGUUCGUUAAUUAAUAUAGAGGCACCUCAUUUUCAGA